rnacentral:rRNA from 1 species
UGGGCUCUUUGCUGACGAGUGGCGGACGGGUGAGUAAUGUCUGGGAAACUGCCUGAUGGAGGGGGAUAACUACUGGAAACGGUAGCUAAUACCGCAUAACGUCGCAAGACCAAAGAGGGGGACCUUCGGGCCUCUUGCCAUCGGAUGUGCCCAGAUGGGAUUAGCUUGUUGGUGGGGUAACGGCUCACCAAGGCGACGAUCCCUAGCUGGUCUGAGAGGAUGACCAGCCACACUGGAACUGAGACACGGUCCAGACUCCUACGGGAGGCAGCAGUGGGGAAUAUUGCACAAUGGGCGCAAGCCUGAUGCAGCCAUGCCGCGUGUAUGAAGAAGGCCUUCGGGUUGUAAAGUACUUUCAGCGGGGAGGAAGGGAGUAAAGUUAAUACCUUUACUCAUUGACGUUACCCGCAGAAGAAGCACCGGCUAACUCCGUGCCAGCAGCCGCGGUAAUACGGAGGGUGCAAGCGUUAAUCGGAAUUACUGGGCGUAAAGCGCACGCAGGCGGUUUGUUAAGUCAGAUGUGAAAUCC